UAGGAAGGUGGUUGGGCUGAGUACU
rnacentral:piRNA from 1 species